UGGACCAAGGAGGAGAGUAUGUCCUGAGCCAAGGCUUAUAAUUAACCCAAUUCUGGCACUGACGUCUGAG
rnacentral:snoRNA from 1 species